UGCUUGUCUCUGAGACUAAGCCAUGCAUGUGUAAGUACAACAGUACUAAAGUAAAACUGCGAACGGCUCAUUAAAUCAGUUAUAAAUGAUUUAGAUAUUUCCCUUUAAAUGGAUAACCCUAGUAAUUCUAGAGCUAAUACAUGAUAAAAACUCUGAAGAAUACUUAUUUGUAUUCGGAGGGGUGGUUUACUUUCUUUAUUAAAACCAAAUGGGGUUAAUAACCCAAUCUAGAGGAAACAAAGGAUAACAAUCUACAUCACAGUGAUCUUUAUUGAUCGGUGACAGUCUAAACAUAUUUCUGACCUAUCAACUGUCGAUGGUGUAAUAGUUGUACACCAUGGUUGUUACGGGUAACGGGGAAUUAGGGUUCGUUCUAUAGAAGGGGCCUGAUAGAAAGCUACCACUUCCAAGGAAGGCAGCAGGCGCGCAAAUUACCCAAUCUCGAUCCGAGGAGGUAGUGACAAGAAAUACCAAUAUAGGAACCAAUGGUUACUAUGUUUGGAAUGUGUACGAUUUAAAUAACCUGCGUAGGAACUAUUGGAGGACAAGUCUGGUGCCAGCACCCGCGGUAAUUCCAGCUCCAAUAGCGUAUGUUAAAGUUGCUGCAUUUAAAAAGCUCGUAGUUGUAAACUGGGACAGGUCCUUCUUAACUCGAUGAUGGGGGAGAUUUGAUCAUUUCAUUUUUCCCUUUAAUUAUCGAGUUUAUUCGGAAUGGAACGAGUUCUCUUAUAUGAUUCUAUAAAGUACAUUUAAUUACUUUAAUACUUAUUUUACCUUUCAUUUUUAAUUUAUUAAUUUUGAUCGGUUUAUUUGGAUGGUUUUAGAUCGUAUUGUAUCAUCAUAUUACCUUGAAGAAAUCAAAGCGCCUAAAGCAAGUUUUUUAGGCUAGAAUGAAUUAGCAUGGGAUAAUGGAAUAAGACAUUGAUCUUGAUUUGUUGGUUUCUACAAGCAAUGUACAUGAUUAAUAGGGAUAGUUGGGGCCACUUGUAUUGAACCGUCAGAGGUGAAAUUCUAGGACCGGUUCAAGACAACCUACUGCGAAAGCAUCUGGCAAGGAUGUUUUCAUUAAUCAAGAACGAAAGUUGCGGGCGCGAAGAUGAUCAGAUACCGUCGUAGUCGCAACUAUAAACUUUGUCGCCCAAGGGGUAGUGGUAGUUACAUGAUGACACCCCUAUAACUUUGUGAGAAAUCAUAAGGAUUUGGACUCUGGGGGAAGUAUGGUCGCAAGGCUGAAACUUAAAGGAAUUGACGGAAGGGCACCACCAGGAGUGGAACCUGCGG
rnacentral:rRNA from 1 species